rnacentral:lncRNA from 13 species
ACGUGACGCUAGUGAGUCACAAUUCUAGUCACAUGAGAUACAGUAAUGGGAAGAAAAAGAGGUAAAAAAAUCUCUGCUUUCAUGAAACCUUUUGCUGAUAGAGAGUGGAGGGAGAGGAAUGGAAAAUAGACAAUAAAUGAAUAUUCAAGAAGCUGGGUCACUUUAAAGGCUCUGAGUGAAACAGCAUGUAGGAGUCAAGGGAGAAGCAGAGACAGUAGUCAAGAAGCUAUUGCAAUAAUCCAGGCAGCAUCACUCAAUUUUGGCUAUUUUAUAGACAUUCAGGAUGAUAGUGACAAGAUGAAUUCCAUUAUCUUAAAGGGUAAGUAAUCUGUGUCACUGACACUGUGAUUUGUCUCAUUGUGUAUUGAUUAUGUACUUCAUAUCAAAUUUGUGUUUUAAUUUUGAACGUUCAUAUAGUCUUAUCAAUAUAUAGUGGUUCUGGACAUUGUUACUAAAAGGUAUCUGUCCUGUAAAAUAAAAUAACUGCGGAAAGGUAGUUUCA